GGUCAGCGGCGGACGGGUGAGUAACACGUGGGCAACCUGCCCGCAAGACCGGGAUAACUCCGGGAAACCGGAGCUAAUACCGGAUAACACCGAAGACCGCAUGGUCUUYGGUUGAAAGGCGGCCUUUGGGCUGUCACUUGCGGAUGGGCCCGCGGCGCAUUAGCUAGUUGGUGAGGUAACGGCUCACCAAGGCGACGAUGCGUAGCCGGCCUGAGAGGGUGACCGGCCACACUGGGACUGAGACACGGCCCAGACUCCUACGGGAGGCAGCAGUAGGGAAUCUUCCGCAAUGGGCGAAAGCCUGACGGAGCGACGCCGCGUGAGCGAAGAAGGCCUUCGGGUCGUAAAGCUCUGUUGUGAGGGACGAAGGAGCGCCGUUCGAAGAGGGCGGCGCGGUGACGGUACCUCACGAGAAAGCCCCGGCUAACUACGUGCCAGCAGCCGCGGUAAUACGUAGGGGGCGAGCGUUGUCCGGAAUUAUUGGGCGUAAAGCGCGCGC
rnacentral:rRNA from 1 species